AUUACAUCCAUCCAAUAAGCAGAAGGAAGCCUACGGUUAUCAGUGAAGGUCUGUCCCGGAUUCUGGAAGACUAGUUCUAAAGAUUGACACUAUGAGUGGCUAUUCUCAUAUAUUUUGUGAGGCCACAUGGAUCCUAGAUCAUUGGGUAGUAGUAUAUGAGUUGUGAAAAAACUUCUGUGGUCAAAUUGCUAUUUCCGGUUCCAUACCCAUGGUUUGAGUUGAUUAGGAGCAAUUACCAGCACAGAAUAUUCUCCACAGAGCUCCGGAGAGAACAUAAGGAAAGUAUUAGAGUCUGCCCUUGACUUCUUUUUCUCAACAUUAGAAUUGUUAUUUUUCUUCUUUUCUUUUUUUCUCUCUGGUGGGUGGCUUUGUAAGGAAGAAUCUCAGGGCCUUGUGGCACCUCAGCAGGGAUGAGAAACUGAUGUACUCAGUGAUUGGUUUUUAGUUUAUUCUUUGUUUCAAGGAAAGCUUAUGCACUAUUUCUGCUCCUAUAUCAACAGUAGCUGGCAUAUUUGUGUCAAAUUUGCCCAACGUGCUUACUGCUUUCUUGGUCCAAUGUAAAUGGCAGUUCAUUCUGGCAUAUGGGCCCAGACAAUGGAAGCUGCUUUGGCAAUUAGACUUAAGAGCACUAAUUUGGAUCUCAUGAAGAAACAGGAAUGGAAGCCACUGGCAUACAAUAAAUAUUUUGUUUGGUUUGUUUUCAUUAGGUAGGUUAAUUUAAAUGGAUAUUCCUCAUUACUAUCUAGUUUUAUGUUACUCUACAUAUUAUAUGUCAUAAAAUAUAGAAACCGUUAACAAACAGUAAACUUCCAAAUUGUUCCAUCAAACUAGCAGUGAAUAUGCAGAGGGGUGCCAAGAAGUAGGGAUGGAAGAUUUU
rnacentral:lncRNA from 1 species